rnacentral:rRNA from 1 species
UACGUAGGUGGCAAGCGUUGUCCGGAUUUACUGGGCGUAAAGCGUGUGCAGGCGGGGGUACAAGUGGUGUAUGAAAUUUCCCAGCUUAACUGGGAAGGGUUAUGCCAGACUGUACUUCUGGAGUGCGAGAGAGGGGCGUGGAAUUCCGGUGUAGUGGUGAAAUGCGUAGAGAUCCGGAGGAACCCAGAGGCGAAGGCGGCGCCCUGGCUCGCAACUGACGCUCAGACACGACAGCA